UCCCAGACUCCUACGGGAGGCAGCAGUGGGGAAUAUUGGGCAAUGGGCGCAAGCCUGACCCAGCGACGCCGCGUGAGUGAAGAAGUAUUUCGGCAUGUAAAGCCCUAUCAGCAGGAAAGAAAAUGACGGUACCUGACUAAGAAGCCCCGGCUAACUACGUGCCAGCAGCCGCGGUAAUACGUAGGGGGCAAGCGUUAUCCGGAUUUACUGGGUGUAAAGGGAGCGUAGACGGCAGUGCAAGUCCGGAGUGAAAGCCCGGGGCUCAACCCUGGGACUGCUCUGGAAACUGUAAAGCUGGAGUGCGGGAGGGGCAGGCGGAAUUCCUGGUGUAGCGGUGAAAUGCGUAGAUAUCAGGAGGAACACCGGCGGCGAAGGCGGCCUGCUGGACCGUAACUGACGUUGAGGCUCGAAAGCGUGGGGAGCAAACAGGAUUAGAUCCCCGUGUA
rnacentral:rRNA from 1 species